GUGAGGAAUAUUGCGCAAUGGAGGCAACUCUGACGCAGCCAUGCCGCGUGCAGGAAGAAGGCGCUACGCGUUGUAAACUGCUUUUAACCGGGAAGAAACCCCAGGACGUGUCCUGGGUUGACGGUACCGGAGGAAUAAGCACCGGCUAACUUCGUGCCAGCAGCCGCGGUAAUACGAAGGGUGCAAGCGUUAUCCGGAUUCAUUGGGCUGAAAGGGUGCGUAGGCGGAGCGUUAAGUCAGUGGUGAAAUCCUGCAGCUUAACUGUAGACUGGCCAUGGAUACGUGCGCUCUUGAGUGCGCUUGAAGUGGGCGGAAUGUGCCGUGUAGCGGUGAAAUGCUUAGAUAUGGCACGGAAAACCAAUUGCGAAGGCAGCUCACUAAGGCGAUACUGACGCUGAGGCACGAAAGCGUGGGGAUCGAACAGGAUUAGAAACCCUGGUAGUCC
rnacentral:rRNA from 1 species